rnacentral:rRNA from 1 species
AAUCGGGGCAGGGUGAGUCGACCCCUAAGGCGAGGCCGAAAGGCGUAGUCGAUGGGAGACAGGUUAAUAUUCCUGUACUUGGUGUUACUGCGAAGGGGGGACGGAGAAGGCUAUGUUGGCCGGGCGACGGUUGUCCCGGUUUUAAGCGUGUAGGCUGGUUUUCCAGGCAAAUCCGGAAAAUCAAGGCUGAGGCGUGAUGACGAGGCACUACGGUGCUGAAGCAACAAAUGCCCUGCUUCCAGGAAAAACCUCUGAGCAUCAGGUAACAUCAAAUCGUACCCCAAACCGACACAGGUGGUCAGGUAGAGAAUACCAAGGCGCUUGAGAGAACUCGGGUGAAGGAACUAGGCAAAAUGGUGCCGUAACUUCGGGAGAAGGCACGCUGAUAUGUAGGUGAGGUCCCUCGCGGAUGGAGCUGAAAUCAGUCGAAGAUACCAGCUGGCUGCAACUGUUUAUUAAAAACACAGCACUGUGCAAACACGAAAGUGGACGUAUACGGUGUGACGCCUCCCCGGUGCCGGAAGGUUAAUUGAUGGGGUUAGCGCAAGCGAAGCUCUUGAUCGAAGCCCCGGUAAACGGCGGCCGUAACGAUAACGGUCCUAAGGUAGCGAAAUUCCUUGUCGGGUAGGUUCCGACCUGCACGAAUGGCGUAAUGAUGGCCAGGCUGUCUCCACCCGAGACUCAGUGAAAUUGAACUCGCUGUGAAGAUGCAGUGUACCCGCGGCAAGACGGAAAGACCCCGUGAACCUUUACUAUAGCUUGACACUGAACAUUGAGCCUUGAUGUGUAGGAUAGGUGGGAGGCUUUGAAGUGUGGACGCCAGUCUGCAUGGAGCCGACCUUGAAAUACCACCCUUUAAUGUUUGAUGUUCUAACGUUGACCCGUAAUCCGGGUUGCGGACAGUGUCUGGUGGGUAGUUUGACUGGGGCGGUCUCCUCCUAAAGAGUGACGGAGGAGCACGAAGGUUGGCUAAUCCUGGUCGGACAUCAGGAGGUUAGUGCAAUGGCAUAAGCCAGCUUGACUGCGAGCGUGACGGCGCGAGCAGGUGCGAAAGCAGGUCAUAGUGAUCCGGUGGUUCUGAAUGGAAGGGCCAUCGCUCAACGGAUAAAAGGUACUCCGGGGAUAACAGGCUGAUACCGCCCAAGAGUUCAUAUCGACGGCGGUGUUUGGCACCUCGAUGUCGGCUCAUCACAUCCUGGGGCUGAAGUAGGUCCCAAGGGUAUGGCUGUUCGCCAUUUAAAGUGGUACGCGAGCUGGGUUUAGAACGUCGUGAGACAGUUCGGUCCCUAUCUGCCGUGGGCGCUGGAGAACUGAGGGGGGCUGCUCCUAGUACGAGAGGACCGGAGUGGACGCAUCACUGGUGUUCGGGUUGUCAUGCCAAUGGCACUGCCCGGUAGCUAAAUGCGGAAGAGAUAAGUGCUGAAAGCAUCUAAGCACGAAACUCGCCCCGAGAUGAGUUCUCCCUGACCCUUUAAGGGUCCUGAAGGAACGUUGAAGACGACGACGCUGAUAGGCCGGGUGUGUAAGCGCAGCGAUGCGUUGAGCUAACCGGUACUAAUGAACC